GACGAACCGAGCGAACGUUGUUCGGAAUCACUGGGCUUAAAGGGCGCGUAGGCGGUCGGCCAAGUCAGGGGUGAAAUCCUGCAGCUUAACUGUAGAAGUGCCUUUGAUACUGGUCGUCUCGAGGGAGGUAGGGGUGUGUGGAACUCACAGUGGAGCGGUGAAAUGCGUUGAUAUUGUGAGGAACGCCGGAGGCGGAAGCGACGCACUGGACCUCUUCUAACGCUGAGGCGCGAAAGCCAGGGGAGCAAACGGG
rnacentral:rRNA from 1 species